rnacentral:rRNA from 1 species
AGAGUUUGAUCCUGGCUCAGAACGAACGCUGGCGGCAUGCCUAACACAUGCAAGUCGAACGAGGGCUUCGGCCCUAGUGGCGCACGGGUGAGUAACGCGUGGGAACCUGCCCUGUGGUACGGAAUAACUCCGGGAAACUGGAGCUAAUACCGUAUGUGUCCUGUGGGACAAAGAUUUAUCGCCAUGGGAUGGGCCCGCGUAGGAUUAGCUUGUUGGUGGGGUAACGGCCUACCAAGGCUUCGAUCCUUAGCUGGUCUGAGAGGAUGAUCAGCCACACUGGGACUGAGACACGGCCCAGACUCCUACGGGAGGCAGCAGUGGGGAAUAUUGGACAAUGGGCGCAAGCCUGAUCCAGCAAUGCCGCGUGAGUGAUGAAGGCCUUCGGGUUGUAAAGCUCUUUCGCACGCGACGAUGAUGACGGUAGCGUGAGAAGAAGCCCCGGCUAACUUCGUGCCAGCAGCCGCGGUAAUACGAAGGGGGCUAGCGUUGUUCGGAAUUACUGGGCGUAAAGGGCGCGUAGGCGGUACUUCAAGUCAGGCGUGAAAGCCCCGGGCUCAACCUGGGAACCGCGCUUGAGACUGGAGAACUAGAGUUCGGGAGAGGAUGGUGGAAUUCCCAGUGUAGAGGUGAAAUUCGUAGAUAUUGGGAAGAACACCGAUGGCGAAGGCAGCCAUCUGGACCGACACUGACGCUGAGGCGCGAAAGCGUGGGGAGCAAACAGGAUUAGAUACCCUAGUAGUCC